rnacentral:tRNA from 1 species
GCGAGAAAGUUCAGAAUACCCGUUGAAAUUGCUUGCUGCCUGAUCGGAUUUCGAUUCCGAGGGUCGGGAGUUCGAAUCUCUCCGAGCGCGCCA